GUGAGGAAUAUUGGACAAUGGGCGCAAGCCUGAUCCAGCCAUGCCGCGUGCAGGAAGACGCAUCUAUGGUGUGUAAACUGCUUUUGUACGGGAAGAAACACUCCCUCGUGAGGGAGCUUGACGGUACCGUAAGAAUAAGGAUCGGCUAACUUCGUGCCAGCAGCCGCGGUAAUACGGAGGAUCCAAGCGUUAUCCGGAAUCAUUGGGUUUAAAGGGUCCGUAGGCGGUUUAAUAAGUCAGUGGUGAAAGCCCAUCGCUCAACGAUGGAACGGCCAUUGAUACUGUUAGACUUGAAUUACAAGGAAGUAACUAGAAUAUGUAGUGUAGCGGUGAAAUGCUUAGAUAUUACAUGGAAUACCAAUUGCGAAGGCAGGUUACUACUUGUGGAUUGACGCUGAUGGACGAAAGCGUGGGGAGCGAACAGGAUUAGAAACCCGAGAGUCC
rnacentral:rRNA from 1 species